ACGGGAAACAUUAGACAGCCUCAGUGGAGGCUGAAUGACUGACUAGAGAGAUGGGGGACUGAGGGAGAGGAAAGAAUCAGAGAGGAAAAUGAGGUUUGGACCACUGGAAGGAUCACUGGUAUUUCCAUUAAUAGAAACAGGAGAUGCAAAUUUGGGAGUGGGAAAGGGGGCAAAAAAAGAUGUUUGCUGCUCCACGUAGUGUUUGUUGGUUAGGAGUCCGAGUGGAGCUGUCCAGCAUUGGAUGGGAAAUGCAGCCUGGUAGCUCUUUGCUUCUCGUAUCAUAUUGGUCCUGUUCUUAGUAGAGACCCUCAGUUGGUUUUAGCUCCACUGCAGCUCAGAACCUCCAAGCCUCAGUGUCCCCACCGACAGGAACUAUAGGUCACUGACCAGCAGUUGAAUCCAUCAGGUCUUUCAGAACUCUAAGAUGUUGUUUGUCUGAAUCUGAGGAUUUGAACUCAUGAGGAUUAAUGAAGUUGAACCAAACUCUCCUCAAGACCUAAGCUGUGCUAACUCUAGACCACCAUGAUCCCUAGAACUUUCUGUGCAAUGACUGGAAGAUCAUGUGGCCCUGGCUCUCUUCCCCUCUCCAAGACAAUCAUCAAGACCACCUUGAAAGCAUUGCCACCAAAAGGUAGUUGGGAAGCUUAAACAUCUAAUCAUCACUCCCUGGGAAUAUGCCUUUCUGAGGGGCCUGUCCCCCAAGUUUGAGCAACAUUGAAGGAAGACUAGCUCCUGGUUCCCCAGAUUUUAUUUCUCAGUUUUUAAAGCAAGAAGUAUUUGUUAAGAUGUCAUUAUCCUGACAUCUCAGAAAUGUAACGCCUCAUGGCAGGUGCAAGGGACUUAUUCAUCAUCAGCAACAUACCAUGUUCAUUACCAUGGUACGGUUUUUAUCAUUCCUCUGGACUGGAAUGACCUUCCCCUCUUCCACCCACUUGUCUCAAUCCUACUCAGCCUUCAAGGCCCACUUUCCCCAAUUCCUUAACAAUUCCAUUCCCUCUGCUCCUUCUGUACUUAUAAUCUUGAUUAUACAACUCAGUAUUUAAUUAUACAUGCCAUUUGUACUCCUCUCUAA